rnacentral:rRNA from 1 species
GGCCAGACUCCUACGGGAGGCAGCAGUGGGGAAUAUUGCACAAUGGGGGAAACCCUGAUGCAGCGGCGCCGCGUGAGUGAGGAAGUAUUUCGGUAUGUAAAGCUCUAUCAGCAGGGAAGAAAAAAUGACGGUACCUGACUAAGAAGCACCGGCUAAAUACGUGCCAGCAGCCGCGGUAAUACGUAUGGUGCAAGCGUUAUCCGGAUUUACUGGGUGUAAAGGGAGCGCAGGCGGUACGGCAAGUCUGAUGUGAAGGCCCGGGGCUCAACCCCGGUACUGCAUUGGAAACUACCGGACUGGAGUGUCGGAGGGGUAAGUGGAAUUCCUAGUGUAGCGGUGAAAUGCGUAGAUAUUAGGAGGAACACCAGUGGCGAAGGCGGCUUACUGGACGAUCACUGACGCUGAGGCUCGAAAGCGUGGGGAGCAAACAGGAUUAGAUACCCCUGUA